AUGUGAGUGUGUGCUUUAAUUAAUUUACAAGAUGAUUUCUCUGGUUGAAAGUUUCAAAUAUGUUCUCCGAGCACCCAUCAUGGAGAAGUGACACACUCCGGAGUAUACUUGUACAUCACUGAAGCGAAGUGAGAAAUUAAACCACUUGAGUAGUUUCCAUUAUUGCUAACGUAGUCCAACUCUCCAGCCUGGGAUUCAAAAUGAGAUGGGAUCCACAGAACAUGAUACAUGCAUGUAGUGGAUGUGAUGCCGCUGUGCAUGGCAACCUUACAUGCAAUGAGGAAGUUCAGUAUUAUAGUACUUUGCUUAUAGUAUUGUUGACCUUCUUUAUUAAAACAAUAUGACCUGA